GUUCUCUUAGUCUAGUGGUUACGACGUCUCGCUUACACCGAGAAGGUCGCCAGUUCGAACCUGGCAGGGAACA